CAGAGGUGGUGAUUUUCCAGUAGCGGCUGUCGAGCUGGCAGGCCCCCUCGGGGUGCGCGCUGCUCGCCAUCUCGAUCCUGAAAACGACAUUUCGCUUGAAACCUCACCAGAAGCGACAGGGAGCAAGCAGAAGCACACAAACACUACCUGAUGCGCAUGUCAACACAACCGUAUGCAUAACACAAAAGCCACCUGUGAUGAACAUGUCGACGGCUGCAGGAUCCUGGGCUGUCUGAUCCUGGAAGAGAGGAAGGUGACAAUCACACAAGCAGCAGUGAGGGCCAUAUACUGGCUGAGGCCUGUGUGGAAGCAGAAGGUGAGCGGGAGGCAGCAUCUCAUCCCCUUCCUGUGCUGGAAGCCCCCCGCCGCUGUCUCCACAUCUAGCAGAACCUCUGAGCGAUAGUGGUUGGACAGCGACAUGCUCCCCAUCAGCCUGACAGGACACACACACACACACACACACACAUAUAUAUACUGCACGUAAAUAUUAGUGAUUGAACAAUGUUUUUUUUAGGGCCGAUCCCAAUUAUUAGUAGUCAAGGAGGCCGAUAACCGAUAAUUGGAGCAGAUAUUAGUUUUGCCUAAAAAGAAAAAUAUUGACGUCAAAAUUUGAAUAAUAAAAACUCCAACACUUGACUUCAUUCAAAUGUCUUUAAUCAUGUUUAUUAAUCAGCUUUCCAGAUUUGCAACAUGUUAGUCUUUUUAUCUUAGAAAAUAAUGCACCUUUGCUUUAAAAUUCUAACCAAAAAAUGCAGGGAGCUCCCAGGCUCAACAUCAUGUCUUACAAAGUCAAAUGGAAAAAAAAUAGCUCCUUAAAGUUUUCUAUAGUAAAUAAACAUAGAUCAUUUUACCCUUGAGAUUGUGUGAGUCCCAGGAUGCACAUGUCUGGAAACAAUGAGUCCCUGGAAGUCAUCAUCGCAGAAUACAAAUACAGUAACCCUUCGCUAUAUCACGGUUCGUGCUACGCAGUCCCGCUAUAGUGCAGAUUUUUACUACAGUUGCGUUUACAAUUGCUCUCUCUCUCUCCCAAUAUAUUAUGCGUUUCGUCCUGCAGGCAAAUUUUUUGGACGAUAUAUUUUCCUAAAAACUAUCAUGAUAAACGAUACUAUUAUUUUUUUAUGCCACUGAUAUAAUAUUAUAGCAUAUUAUCAGUCAACUACAUCCUUUUAAAGAACAAUAAACUUUUAAUUCUAAAGAAUAUUGAACAUUAACAUUGUAAUUUAGAACAGUAAAUAUUUUAUAUAAUAAUAAAUAAAAUAGACCCAGGCUCUGUUAAAAGAAAUUGCAAAUAAACAACAUUUCACACAGCGGUAUAGUCAUUAACUGACUAAAGAGAUUAAAAAAAGUCUUAAAGCCUGCCAAAUUUGAAUGAAUUAAAAAAUCAUUUACAAAAAACAGUGUUCUCAAAUGAUUUGGGCUUUAUCACUGUUUUUAAAUCAGAUGCAUUUUAAUAUCACUGUAUUUUUUUAUUAUUUUCAUUUAUUGUAUGAAUGUUGUCAUACUUUGUAAUUUCUGCCGCCUGUAUAUUUUCUGCUGCCUCUUGGCUUUUUAAAAAGAGAUUUUAUAGCUCAGCUUUUACCUGGUUAAAUAACUGAUUAACAAAAUGUAAAAUAAGGCCCACCCUCGAGCUGCUGGACUGUGAGACCGUCACCUGUCAAUCAAACGACGCUUAAAAUGAGUUCGCUGAAGUCAACUACUGCCUGAAUAUUGAUAACGUUUACCGCUGUGGUUAUGGUAAACAAUUCAUAUGUGCGUGAGUGUGCGCGUGUGUUAUGCGGGGAACAUAGACACACAACUCAGAGCACUUACAUUUUAAACAAUGUUGCCCCAGUCGAGUGAGCUGUUUACCUCCUUAGCUUGCUAGCUCGUUAGCUCGCAGGCUUGUGAACGUAAUAAAUUGUUAACUCUC